rnacentral:rRNA from 1 species
UGCAGUCGAACGAUGAUGCUAGCUUGCUAGCGGAUUAGUGGCGAACGGGUGAGUAACACGUGAGUAACCUGCCUUUGACUCUGGGAUAAGCGUUGGAAACGACGUCUAAUACCGGAUACGACUUCUCACCGCAUGGUGUGGGGGUGGAAAGAUUUUUUGGUUGGAGAUGGACUCGCGGCCUAUCAGGUUGUUGGUGGGGUAAUGGCUCACCAAGCCUACGACGGGUAGCCGGCCUGAGAGGGUGACCGGCCACACUGGGACUGAGACACGGCCCAGACUCCUACGGGAGGCAGCAGUGGGGAAUAUUGCACAAUGGGCGAAAGCCUGAUGCAGCAACGCCGCGUGAGGGAUGACGGCCUUCGGGUUGUAAACCUCUUUUAGUAAGGAAGAAGCCAGCUUGCUGGUGACGGUACUUGCAGAAAAAGCACCGGCUAACUACGUGCCAGCAGCCGCGGUAAUACGUAGGGUGCAAGCGUUGUCCGGAAUUAUUGGGCGUAAAGAGCUCGUAGGCGGUUUGUCGCGUCUGCUGUGAAAUCCUGAGGCUCAACCUCGGGCUUGCAGUGGGUACGGGCAGACUAGAGUGCGGUAGGGGAGAUUGGAAUUCCUGGUGUAGCGGUGGAAUGCGCAGAUAUCAGGAGGAACACCGAUGGCGAAGGCAGAUCUCUGGGCCGUAACUGACGCUGAGGAGCGAAAGCAUGGGGAGCGAACAGGAUUAGAUACCCUGGUAGUCCAUGCCGUAAACGUUGGGAACUAGAUGUAGGGGCCAUUCCACGGUUUCUGUGUCGCAGCUAACGCAUUAAGUUCCCCGCCUGGGGAGUACGGCCGCAAGGCUAAAACUCAAAGGAAUUGACGGGGGCCCGCACAAGCGGCGGAGCAUGCGGAUUAAUUCGAUGCAACGCGAAGAACCUUACCAAGGCUUGACAUGAACGA